rnacentral:rRNA from 1 species
GACGGGGGAUGCAAGGGUUAUCCGGAAUCACUGGGCGUAAAGCGUCUGCAGGUGGUGUCCUAAGUCCACUGUUAAACCUUGAGGCUCAACCUCAAAUCUGCAUUGGAAACUAGGAGACUUGAGUAUAGUAGGGGUAGAGGGAAUUUCCAGUGGAGCGGUGAAAUGCGUAGAUAUCGUUUGGAACGCCAACGGUGAAAACAGACAGCUGGGAGUGUGCUGACGCUGAGACACGAAAGCCAGGGGAGCGAACGGG